rnacentral:rRNA from 1 species
GACGAACGCUGGCGGCGUGCCUAAUACAUGCAAGUCGAACGCAGUGGGGACGGGUGAGUAACACGUGGGUAACCUACCAUCAGAGGGGAUAACACUUGGAAACAGGUGCUAAACCGAUAUUGAUUGAUGGACCUGGUGUGCAUUAGCUAGUUGGUGAGGUAACGGCUCACCAAGGCUAAGAUGCAUAGCCGCCCUGAGAGGGUGACCGGCCACACUGGAACUGAGACACGGCCCAGACUCCUACGGGAGGCAGCAGUAGGGAAUCUUCGACAAUGGACGCAAGUCUGACCGAGCAACGCCGCGUGAGUGAAGAAGGUUUUCGGAUCGUAAAACUCUGUUGUUGGAGAAGCGGUAUCUAACCAAAAAGCCCCGGCUAACUACGUGCCAGCAGCCGCGGUAAUAC